UCUCUGGCACUCCCAGGGGGCCACUGUCGGGGACACCUGUGAGUAAGACACUCAGCCCGACCUCAGGGAGCACAAAGCCCAGUGGGGAGCGGUUGAAACAAUGGGCUAAAUGCCACAGAGCGGUGCACCUGGGAGCUGGGGUCCUGGCCAGGAGGAACAGUGCCCAAGAGAGGCCUUGGAAAGCCAUGGUGAUGUCCCUGUGGGGCUCUGAAGGAUGACAAGGGAGCUGCCAGUACCUGAAGGGUGAGGAAGAUGUGUUCUAGAAGGUGCAGCACUGGCAAAGCGUCACCGUUCAAUAUUCCCAAUCCAGAAACCAUCUCUGAGCAGCUUCUUCCCUCAAACACCUGGGGCCAAGGCCAUUCCUGAUGUGAGUGGAGGAUCAGUGGGUGCGUGGAAUGGGCCGGCACCACUAGCUGUGGGUCCUGGGCUCUUGGGAAUAAUCCAGAGGACCCCAGUGCCUGCCCUUCUGGGAGCUGAGGACCUAAAGGCUUAUGAUAUCAAUGCCCUUCCCCAAACUUGAAAGAAAUGUAAAAAUCACCCGACUUUUUUUUGUUUUAGACGGAGUCUCACUUUGUUACCCAGGCUGGAGUGCAGUGGUGCGAUCUCGGCUCACUGCAACCUCCACCUCCUGGGUUCAAGUGAUUCUCCUGCCUCAGCCUCCUGAGGCGCUGGGAUUACAGGCUUGUACCACCACGCGCAGCUAAUUUUUGUAUUUUUAGUAGAGAUGGGGUUUCACCAUGUUGGCCAGGCUGGUCUCGAACUCCUGGCCGCAAGUGAUCCAUCUGCCUCAUUCUCCCAAAGUGCUGGGAUUACAGGCGUUAAGUCACUGCACCCAGCCACCCCUGACUUUUCUCCUGAAGCUGGAACAACCCCAGAUUCUUUGUGGUCUUGGGAAAAAGUGAAGAUGGAAUAGCCACCCUGUCACUGUAGGGAGACAGCUGCCUGCUCCAGUGCACUCUGAAGGGCACCCUCCAUGUGGGCAUUGUCUGACCAGCCAACCCUCAUUUUCGGUUCCACCUCUAUGACUGGGUUUGAUCAGAGCUCACAAGGUGGAAAACACAACAUUUCACUGGGAGGAGGAUCUGCUCUGUCUGAGGAGCCGGUGGGAGUAGAGAUUCCCCCAGUGCAGGCAUGGGCACUGCGGGGAGCAUGCCUGCACACAUCACAGUCAGGCAGGGCUGGGAAGCAGGAUGGAGUUGCGGUGGGAAGGAGCAGCUCCCUCUCACUGUGAGAUCGGGAGAGACUGGGGGUGAUGAUUUGUACCUUCUGGGGACCUCGGUGGAUAGCUUCUAUUUCCAAGUCCCUGGCUUCCCUACAGCCAUGAUGACCAGAGGAUACCCUGAAGCUGAAAGGUAAGGAGCUCCAGGGACUCACAGAGAUCUCUGAGGCUGGGAUCUUGCCCAGGGCAUGGGUGAGGCUGCCCUGUGUCCUGACCUUGGAGUGUGGCCACAGCAGGAGGGGCCUCUGCAACCCUCAGGGGUGUCACCCUUACCUCCCUGGAGAGGACGUGGCCAUCACUCCUCUUGCAGGCCACACAGACCUGGGUUUGCAUCUUGUUGUGGCCACCUACCAGCUGGGUUAUGUUGAACAGCUCAGGGGACUUCCCUGAGCCUCAGUUUCCACGCUGGCACUCACAAUCCCUCACGGUGCUAAGCGGGCGGUCUGGUGUCUGAAGAGGUUCCCUGGAGGCUUGGAGGUGGGCGCAGUGUGGAUAUCCUAGUUACACAGCCCUGGCCCAACACCUUCUCCUGACAGCUGCGAAGCCACAGCCUCACCAGGGGCAGGAACGCAUGUGUCCCAUGGUCUUCAGGGUGGCCUCUCUGCAUGUAGUGGGGUCUGAACACUUGGUGUCUGACAGCCAUGCAAACAGCCCUUUCAGAACUGCCCUGGUUCCUGCCAGGCACCUGGACUUGGAGCUGUUUUUAUGGCUUCGUAAGCACAGACGAGCCUCUGAUAUCUGAUAAAAAGCGCACAAGAUGGCAACCAGCUGAGAAGUUCAUUAUCUUGGAAAAGCCAAAACUGCUUACUCAAGACAAAGCAGUUCUGGUCUUGGGUGGGGAGGCAGUGCCUGGGAAGCCUCCAGUGGGGGCUUCCGGGACGGACAGGGAAAUAUAAAUGCAUCAUUAUGUCA